CCUACGGGAGGCAGCAGUGGGGAAUUUUGGACAAUGGGCGCAAGCCUGAUCCAGCCAUGCCGCGUGAGUGAAGAAGGCCUUCGGGUUGUAAAGUUCUUUCGUCCGGGAAGAAAUCGCACAGGUUAAUUCCCUGUGUGGAUGACGGUACCGGAAUAAGAAGCCCCGGCU
rnacentral:rRNA from 1 species